rnacentral:rRNA from 1 species
UACGUAGGGGGCUAGCGUUGUCCGGAAUCAUUGGGCGUAAAGAGCGUGUAGGCGGCUCGGUAAGUCCGCUGUGAAAGUCGGGGGCUCAACCCUCGAAUGCCGGUGGAUACUGUCGAGCUAGAGUGCGGAAGAGGCGAGUGGAAUUCCUGGUGUAGCGGUGAAAUGCGCAGAUAUCAGGAGGAACACCGAUGGCGAAGGCAGCUCACUGGGACGGUACUGACGCUGAGGCGCGAAAGCGUGGGGAGCAAACAGG